AGAUAGGACACGUGUAUUUAGGCUAGAAGAAAGGAGAUUUCAUCUAAGGCAAAGAAAAUUUUUUUUUACAGUAAGAGCAAUAAGGAUAUGGAAUUCUCUGCCUGAAGAGGUGGUUUUGUCAGAGUCUAUACAGAUGUUUAAACUGCAACUGGAUAAAUACUUGCAAAAACAUAACAUACAGGGAUAUAAUUUCUAAUUAGCGGGGUAAUAGCUGCUUGAUCCAAGGAGACAUCUGACUGCUAUUUUGGGGUCAAGAAGGAAUUUUUUCCUAGUUUG